rnacentral:rRNA from 1 species
AGUGAACGUUGGCGGCGUGGAUUAGGCAUGCAAGUCGCGCGGAAAGGCCCCGCAAGGGGCACUCGAGCGGCGUAAGGGAUAGUAACACGUGGGUAACCUACCCCUGGGACUGGGAUAACUGCGGGAAACUGCAGGUAAUACCGGAUAACGUCCCCGGACCAAAGGUGUGAUUCCGCCUGGGGGGGGCCCGCGUCCUAUUAGCUAGUUGGCAGGGUAACGGCCUACCAAGGCAAAGAUGGGUAGGGGGUGUGAGAGCACGACCCCCAUCACUGGGACUGAGACACUGCCCAGACACCUACGGGUGGCUGCAGUCGAGAAUCUUCGGCAAUGGGCGCAAGCCUGACCGAGCGACGCCGCGUGCGGGAUGAAGGCCCUCGGGUUGUAAACCGCUGUCAGAGGGAAAGAAGUGCUGGGGGGUUCUCCCUUCAGUUUGACUGACCCUCAGAGGAAGUACGGGCUAAGUUCGUGCCAGCCGCCGCCGUAAAAC